rnacentral:rRNA from 1 species
UACAGAGGGUGCGAGCGUUAAUCGGAAUUACUGGGCGUAAAAGCGCGCGUAGGCGGCUUUUCAAGUCGAUUGUGAAAAUCCCCCGGGCUCAACCUGGGAACUGCAGUCGAGACUGUCUAGCUAGAGUAUGGGAGAGGGAAGUGGAAUUUCAGGUGUAGCGGUGAAAAUGCGUAGAUAUCUGAAGGAACAUCAGUGGCGAAAAGCGACUUCCUGGACCAAAUACUGACGCUCAUGUGCGAAAGCGUGGGGGAGCAAACAG